rnacentral:misc_RNA from 1 species
AGAACUUUAUGCUUUUUUGAGUACAAUGUAAUGAGAACCUACAUAGCUGAAUUUUAUACACCUUAAUAAUAGAAACAAAGAAGAAUGGCAGCUCUCCUACAAAAGAAACUGCAGGUAGUUGGUUAUACAUAUACCGGCUAAGCUUUUCGACUUCUCAGAUCAACAAAAAAGGUGGAUCCAUCGGUAUGAGGGGAAGAAAUCUCUACAAGUUAUCGACGUCUGCCAGGGGCAUUUUCCAGUAGUUCCAUAAGUUAUAAUCUUCCUGCUCAACCAUGGAUGUAGGAGGGAACAUGUCAUUAACUAGAGUGUGUAAUGAAGUAUAGGAUUUCACGUCGAUUUGGUGGUUAAUAGCUACCUCCCCCUUUGGGUUUAUUAUAAAAAUUUUGCCUUUUGGAAUUCCAAUUUUCCUGUAACUGAGCUCAUCAGUGUCCCUAUUCCCGAAUCCCGCAUAAAAAGGGUUAUAGUCUGGUGGAAAAAGUGCUUUUAUGUCCUCUAAGCAUG